CCUCGGGAGGCAGCAGUGGGGAAUCUUGCACAAUGGAGGAAACUCUGAUGCAGCGAUGCCGCGUGAGUGAAGAAGGCCCUUGGGUUGUAAAGCUCUUUUGUCGGGAAAGAUAAUGACUGUACCCGAAGAAUAAGGUCCGGCUAACUUCGUGCCAGCAGCCGCGGUAAUACGAAGGGACCUAGCGUAAUUCGGAAUUACUGGGCGUAAAGCGCGCGUAGGCGGUUAAGUAAGUUAAUUGUGAAAGCCCAAAGCUCAACUUUGGAAUUGCAAUUAAAACUAUUUAGCUAGAGUUUAUCAGAGGAAAGCGGAAUACAUAGUGUAGAGGUGAAAUUCGUAGAUAUUAUGUAGAACACCAGUUGCGAAGGCGGCUUUCUGGGAUAACACUGACGCUGAGGUGCGAAAGUAUGGGUAGCGAAGAGGAUUAGAUACCCUCGUAGUCCAUACCGUAAACGAUGAUUGUUAGAUGUUGGAAAUUUAUUUUCAGUAUCACAGCUAACGCGUUAAACAAUCCGCCUGGGGAGUACGACCGCAAGGUUAAAACUCAAAUGAAUUGACGG
rnacentral:rRNA from 1 species